UAUCAGUAUUUUUAGAGUAGACUGAUACAUACAUCGAAAGAAAAGUAGAUACAUAGAUACACAGACACAUUGUUAAAUCAGAGUCAAAUAACUACAGAAGAUAUUGGAUGUCACUUUCAUGUUUCAUUACCACACAAAGAUAAAAAUUAAUGUGCAAGUGGAUGAGUACUCCACAGAUUACACACCAUUAACAUACUUCUCAGAGAUAUUCAGCCUCACACAGAAUGUGACAAGACUAGCCACUUUCUAUUACAGCUACAACUCAUUUUGGCCAGCUGAGUGGACUGGAGCAAGAUAAACCUUCAAAUGGUUGGAAGAAAAUGAAAAAGAUCUUAUAUAGGGAAACCAAAUCAGACAUUGAAGCUAAACACAGUCCUUUAACUCAUUGGAUGCUAUUGAAUUGUCAAGGAAAAUGGAAGUUACUUAAUGAUGAUAAUGAUGAUGAUGUGAUGGAGACAAACACCAACGUCCCAUAUGGUAGACCUGAAUAAUUGUUGAGAUAUUUCUCUCCCUCCAUGAAACUAAUGGUAGUCAGGAUAACCCAAAUACAAUUCUAUUAUUCAAAAUUGCUACCCACAGCUCUUAUGACAAUGUUGACAACAGAAUAAUAUCAAGUGAUAUUCUUGUAUGAAUACAAGUUGGGUCACUCUACCACCAAAGCUCUACAAAAUAUCAAGUGCACUUUUGGUAAUGAAUCUGUUGACAUUAGAACUGUUCAGAAAUGGUUCCAAAGAUUUUGUUCAGGAAAUGAAAGCAUUAAAAAUAAAUCAAGAGGGAGACUAAAAUCUGAUAUCUGGCAUGAUGAAUUGAAUGCUUUGAUUAAAUGGAAUCUGAGAACAACAGUCCAGAAAAUUAGAUCAGAGCUCCAGACAUCUGCAACUGCUUCUUGACACUUGAAGAAAAUUGGAAAAGUAAAAAAGAUGGAUAGGUUUGUUCUGUGUUCCAUGUUGAUUUCUCGGUUGGAAAGAAAACCACUUUUGAAUUGACUCAUUAUGUAUGAUGAGAAAUGGAAACUCUUUGAUAAUAAUAGCAGGUGGACAGGACAGUGGUUAGAUGCUGGUGAGUCACCAAAACACUACUCAAAACCACCACUGCAUCCUAAAAAGUUGGUCACUGUAUGGUCAACAAAGAGGUAGUUCAUUUUUCAUUUUUGCGACAAAGAGAAACUUUAACAACAACAACCUAUUGUCAGGAAAUUUUAUGCAUGGAAAAUUAAAAAAGAAGCAACCUAAAUUAGUGAAUAGUGAUGGCCCAAUUUUGCUUCAUGAUAAUGCAUAACCUCACACUUCUCAUGCUACAGUCCACAAGUUGCAAUGCCUGAAUUAUGAAAUUUUGGCACAUCCUCCUUAUUCUUCUGACAUCUCUCCUACUGGUUAUCACAUAUUUAAACACUUCAAGCUUGCUAUAUGCAAUAAAACAUUCUUAAAUAAAGAAGAGGUAAUUGAAGCAUCUCAACAAUUUAUCAGUGAUAAUUUAUCAGAUGAUAAAUAUAUGCCUUAGAGGGAACGUUGG